GUAGGUGGCAAGCGUUAUCCGGAAUGAUUGGGCGUAAAGGGUGCGUAGGUGGUACAUUAAGUCUGAAGUAAAAGGCAGCAGCCCAACUGCUGUUCGCUUUGGAAACUGGUGAACUAGAGUGCAGGAGAGGGCGAUGGAAUUCCAUGUGUAGCGGUAAGAUGCGUAGAUAUAUGGAGGAACACCAGUGGCGAAGGCGGUCGCCUGGCCUGUAACUGACACUGAGGCACGAAAGCGUGGGGAGCAAAUAGGAUUAGAUACCCUAGUAGUCCACGCCGUAAACGAUGAGAACUNAGUGUUGGAGGGAUUCAGUGCUGCAGUUAACGCAAUAAGUUCUCCGCCUGGGGAGU
rnacentral:rRNA from 1 species